ACCAGUUUAUCCUGCUGGAGAUUGCUGCUAUUGGAGUUCGACUAAGCCAUGCAAGUCAAGGGGUUCUUCGGAACACCGGCAGACUGCUCAGUAACACGUCAAUAACUUACCCUUAAGUCUGGAAUAGCCUCGGGAAACUGAGGGUAAAACCGGAUGGAAGUAUCUAAUUGUAAAAUGGAUUCUUCGAAAGGCAACGCUUAAGGACAGGUUGGCGGCUGAUUAGGUAGUUGGCGAGGUAAUGGCUCACCAAGCCGAUGAUCAGUAAGGGUCUUGAGAGAGAUAGCCCUGAGAAGGACACUGAGACACUGGUCCUAGCCCUACGGGGUGCAGCAGGCGCGAAAACUUUGCAAUGCACGAAAGUGUGACAAGGGAACUCCAAGUGCUUUACCUUUAUGGUAAGGCUUUUUUCUAGAGUAAAUAUCUAGGAGAAUAAGUGGUGGGCAAGACGGGUGCCAGCCGCCGCGGUAACACCUGCGCCACGAGUGGGAAUCACUAUUAUUGGGCCUAAAGCGUCCGUAGCCGGCUUGAUAAAUCUUCUGUGAAAUCGUUGCGCUCAACGUAACGUCGUGCAGAAGAAACUGUCAAGCUUGGAACCGGGAGGAGUCAGAAGUAUUUCUGGGGGAGCGGUAAAAUGCUAUAAUCCCAGGAGGACUACCUGUGGCGGAGGCGUCUGACUAGAACGGAUUCGACGGUGAGGGACGAAAGCUAGGGGAGCAAACCGGAUUAGAUACCCGAGUAGUCCUAGCUGUAAACUCUGCGAGCUAGGUGUCACGUAUUCCAUGUGAAUGCGUGGUGUCGUAGUGAAGACGUUAAGCUCGCCGCCUGGGAAGUACGGUCGCAAGACUGAAACUUAAAGGAAUUGGCGGGGGAGCGCCACAACGAGUGCGGCGUGCGGUUUAAUCGGAUUCAACGCCGGAAAUCUUACCAGAAGCGACGGCAGGAUGAAAGACAGUCUAAAGGGCUUUCUUGACGAGCCGAGAGGUAGUGCAUGGCCGCCGUCAGCUCAUGCCGUGAGGUGUCCUCUUAAGUGAGGCAACGAGCAAGACCUAUAUUCGCAAUUGCCAUCGGGUUCUUCAGAACGACCGGGCACAUAGCGAAGACUGCCUUGGAAACAAGGAGGAAGGUGUAGGCAACGGCAGGUCUGUAUGCUCCGAAUCUUCUGGGCUACACGCGCGCAACAAUGGUACGGACAAUGGGAUACAACUCCGAAAGGAGAAGUUAAACCUCGAAACCGUAUCUUAGUUCAGAUUGAGGGUUGUAACUCACCCUCAUGACGAUGGAAUUCGUAGUAAUCGGGCUUCAUUACGGCCCAGUGAAUAUGUCCCCGCUCCUUGCACACACCGCCCGUCAUCUCACCCGAGUAGGGUUUAGAUGAGGACUAAUCUCUGAUUGGUUCGAAUCUAAGCUCUGCGAGGAGGGGCAAGUCGUCACAAGGUA
rnacentral:rRNA from 1 species